rnacentral:rRNA from 1 species
UGAGGAACAUGACCUUCGGCGGGGGAUAGCCGGCCCAACGGCCGGGUAAUACCGCGUACGACCACAUGGGGACAUCCCUGAGUGGUGAAAGCAGCAAUGGCGCCGAUGGAGUGCCUCGCGGCCUAUCAGCUAGUUGGUGAGGUAACGGCUCACCAAGGCAACGACGGGUAGCUGGUCUGAGAGGAUGGCCAGCCACAUUGGGACUGAGACACCGGCCCAGACCUCUACGGGAGG